rnacentral:piRNA from 1 species
UGAUCCCCUAUGAGGCCUGUUUAGCUGAC